GUAGGGGGCUAGCGUUGUCCGGAUUUAUUGGGCGUAAAGAGCGUGUAGGCGGUCAGGUAGGUCGGUUGUGAAAACUGGAGGCUCAACCUUCAGAGGUCGACCGAAACCCCCUGGCUAGAGUCCGGGAGAGGAGAGUGGAAUUCCUGGUGUAGCGGUGAAAUGCGCAGAUAUCAGGAAGAACACCCGUGGCGAAAGCGGCUCUCUGGAACGGUACUGACGCUGAGACGCGAAAGCGUGGGGAGCGAACAGG
rnacentral:rRNA from 1 species